rnacentral:lncRNA from 1 species
GAGAGUCUUUCUUCACGUUAUCUCAUAAGGAUGAUUGCGAGGCUGAUCUCCUCGGGAGCCUAAUCUCACAUGAAUGUUUCUAUGUGGGCCCAGGCAGGCAUGAACAUUGGAUCGUGGGCCCAACCUGUUGUGCAUGUUGGUCAUUGGACCUAAUCUCGGUCGAAGACUCGAUCUACUUGAGUGGGGCUCGCGGAUGCUUGUGAUAUGCUAGCGUGUUGUGCAGCAUGCUCUAGUCCUUCUCCUUACCUGAUUGCUCUUGCUCGACUUGUUUGGGACCUCUCGAAUUGCCUACCAGUGAGCCCGUCCACCCUUCUAUAUUCAUCAUGGGAUCCAGGGCCAAUGUCUUAGACUAAAUU